GCGGGGGUUCCCGAGUCUGGUCAAAGGGGGCGGACUUAAGAUCCGCUGGCGAAGGCCUGCGUGGGUCCAAAUCCCACCCCCCGCA
rnacentral:tRNA from 2 species